GAUGAACGCUGGCGGCGUGCCUAAUACAUGCAAGUCGAGCGAACGGACGAGAAGCUUGCUUCUCUGAUGUUAGCGGCGGACGGGUGAGUAACACGUGGAUAACCUACCUAUAAGACUGGGAUAACUUCGGGAAACCGGAGCUAGUACCGGAUAAUAUUUUGAACCGCAUGGUUCAAAAGUGAAAGACGGUCUUGCUGUCACUUAUAGAUGGAUCCGCGCUGCAUUAGCUAGUUGGUAAGGUAACGGCUUACCAAGGCAACGAUGCAUAGCCGACCUGAGAGGGUGAUCGGCCACACUGGAACUGAGACACGGUCCAGACUCCUACGGGAGGCAGCAGUAGGGAAUCUUCCGCAAUGGGCGAAAGCCUGACGGAGCAACGCCGCGUGAGUGAUGAAGGUCUUCGGAUCGUAAAACUCUGUUAUUAGGGAAGAACAUAUGUGUAAGUAACUGUGCACAUCUUGACGGUACCUAAUCAGAAAGCCACGGCUAACUACGUGCCAGCAGCCGCGGUAAUACGUAGGUGGCAAGCGUUAUCCGGAAUUAUUGGGCGUAAAGCGCGCGUAGGCGGUUUUUUAAGUCUGAUGUGAAAGCCCACGGCUCAACCGUGGAGGGUCAUUGGAAACUGGAAAACUUGAGUGCAGAAGAGGAAAGUGGAAUUCCAUGUGUAGCGGUGAAAUGCGCAGAGAUAUGGAGGAACACCAGUGGCGAAGGCGACUUUCUGGUCUGUAACUGACGCUGAUGUGCGAAAGCGUGGGGAUCAAACAGGAUUAGAUACCCUGGUAGUCCACGCCGUAAACGAUGAGUGCUAAGUGUUAGGGGGUUUCCGCCCCUUAGUGCUGCAGCUAACGCAUUAAGCACUCCGCCUGGGGAGUACGACCGCAAGGUUGAAACUCAAAGGAAUUGACGGGGACCCGCACAAGCGGCGGAGCAUGUGGUUUAAUUCGAAGCAACGCGAAGAACCUUACCAAAUCUUGACAUCCUUUGACAACUCUAGAGAUAGAGCCUUCCCCUUCGGGGGACAAAGUGACAGGUGGUGCAUGGUUGUCGUCAGCUCGUGUCGUGAGAUGUUGGGUUAAGUCCCGCAACGAGCGCAACCCUUAAGCUUAGUUGCCAUCAUUAAGUUGGGCACUCUAAGUUGACUGCCGGUGACAAACCGGAGGAAGGUGGGGAUGACGUCAAAUCAUCAUGCCCCUUAUGAUUUGGGCUACACACGUGCUACAAUGGACAAUACAAAGGGCAGCGAAACCGCGAGGUCAAGCAAAUCCCAUAAAGUUGUUCUCAGUUCGGAUUGUAGUCUGCAACUCGACUACAUGAAGCUGGAAUCGCUAGUAAUCGUAGAUCAGCAUGCUACGGUGAAUACGUUCCCGGGUCU
rnacentral:rRNA from 1 species